CAUCCAUAGAGAAGUUAAUAGACACAAGGGUCAAUAGUGUUCAUGUGUCCACCCAUGUAGAUGAGAACCUAUGCAAAGACCAUAACUCAAAGGUCAAUGAUG